rnacentral:rRNA from 1 species
GAUGAACGCUGGCGGCGUGCCUAAUACAUGCAAGUCGAGCGAACAGACGAGGAGCUUGCUCCUCUGACGUUAGCGGCGGACGGGUGAGUAACACGUGGAUAACCUACCUAUAAGACUGGGAUAACUUCGGGAAACCGGAGCUAAUACCGGAUAAUAUAUUGAACCGCAUGGUUCAAUAGUGAAAGACGGUUUUGCUGUCACUUAUAGAUGGAUCCGCGCCGCAUUAGCUAGUUGGUAAGGUAACGGCUUACCAAGGCAACGAUGCGUAGCCGACCUGAGAGGGUGAUCGGCCACACUGGAACUGAGACACGGUCCAGACUCCUACGGGAGGCAGCAGUAGGGAAUCUUCCGCAAUGGGCGAAAGCCUGACGGAGCAACGCCGCGUGAGUGAUGAAGGUCUUCGGAUCGUAAAACUCUGUUAUUAGGGAAGAACAAAUGUGUAAGUAGCUAUGCACGUCUUGACGGUACCUAAUCAGAAAGCCACGACUAACUACGUG